CUUGUUUCAGCAGAACAUAUACUGAAAUUGGAAUGAUACAGAGAACAUUAACAUGGUUUCUAUGCAAGGGGGACACAGAAAUUUGUAAAGUGUUCCAUAUUAAA
rnacentral:snRNA from 1 species